UUGCCCGAAUCCUGACACAGGGAGGUAGUGACAAGAAAUAACGAUACAGGGCUACAUCUAGUCUUGUAAUUGGAAUGAGUACAAUUUACAUCUCUUAACGAUGAUCAAUUGGAGGGCAAGUCUGGUGCCAGCAGCCGCGGUAAUUCCAGCUCCAAUAGCGUAUAUUAAAGUUGUUGCAGUUAGAACGCUCGUAGUCGGAUUUCGGGGCAGUCCGACCGGUCUGCCGAUGGGUAUGCACUGGCCGGAGUGUCCUUUUUGCCGGAGACCGUGCCUACUCUUAACUGAGCGGGGGCGGGAGACGGCACUUUUACUUUGGAAAAAUCAGAGUGUUUCAAGCAGGCAGCUCGCUCUUGCAUGGAUUAGCAUGGGAUAAUGAAAUAGGACUUUGGUGCUAUUUUGUUGGUUUCGAACACCGAAGUAAUGAUGAGAAGGGACAGUCAGGGGCACUCGUAUUCCGCAGAGAGAGGUGAAAUUCUCAGACCCGCGGAAGACGAACCACUGCGAAAGCAUUUGCCAGGGAUGUCUUCACUGAUCAAGAACGAAAGUUAGGGGAUCGAAGAUGAUCAGAUACCGUCGUAGUCUUAACCAUAAACCAUGCCGACUAGGGAUUGGAGGAUGUUCACUGAUUGACUCCUUCAGCACCUUACGGGAAACUAAAGUCUUUGGGUUCCGGGGGGAGUAUGGUCGCAAGGCUGAAACUUAAAGGAAUUGACGGAAGGGCACCACCAGGUGUGGAGCCUGCGGCUUAAUUUGACUCAACACGGGGAAACUUACCAGGUCCAGACAUUGUGAGGAUUGGCAGAUUGAGAGCUCUUUCUUGA
rnacentral:rRNA from 1 species